GUUCCCUGAGAAGCGGUAAGACGUAUGGGGCAAGCGUUACCCGGAAUUACUGGGCGUAAAGGGGGCGUAGGCGGUAAAAGAAGUCAUCUGUGAAAACCUAUUGCUCAACGAUAGGCUAGCGGAUGAAACUGAAUUACUUGAGGGCACCAGAGGUAGACGGAAUUACCCGAGUAGGGGUGAAAUCCGCAGAUACGGGUAGGAACGCCGGUGGAGAAGUCGGUCUACUGGGUGCACCAGACGCUGAGGCCCGAAAGCUAGGGGAGCAAACCGGAUUAGAUACCCGGGUAGUCCUAGCCGUAAACGAUGCUCACUAGGUGUAGGGAGUGAUAAACUCUCUGUGCUGAAGCGAACGCGCUAAGUGAGCCGCCUGGGGAGUACGUCCGCAAGGAUGAAACUUAAAUAAAUUGACGG
rnacentral:rRNA from 1 species